CCAUCUCAACCUUUUAUAUUUUUAUCAAAUAAAUUCUUGUUGGAUAUUGCUUAUUUAUUUUUGGCUUCUUUUUUGAUUUGAGUGGUUGAUAACAAUAAAUGUGGAGCCUUCACUAGGUAUUAGAUCACUUAUACAAGAAUAAAAGUAGUCUUUUUAGAAUUUAUUGCAUUUGUAUAUCUCCACCGCUACUUAUUGCCUAUGGAUAUCAUAAUUUAUAGUAUCAAUUGUAAAAACACAAGGUAGACCUUGAUGAGCUUGAAUCCACAACACAAGGUGGAGUCUUGCUUUCAACAAGAUUUUACCUACUAAAGCAGGCUUGAUUCUUGGCUUAAGUGGGAAAGCAAUAUGUUAACAAAAUCUAUUUUAAAACCAUUCAAUCUGUGUGACUUAUAUAUAUAAAUCUUUUAAAAAGCAUUAAAGGGCAAUGUUAGCUGCCUCAUCACGCAAUAUAAGUUUGUGUC
rnacentral:lncRNA from 1 species